rnacentral:rRNA from 1 species
AUUAAACGCUGACGGCAGGCCUAACACAUGCAAGUCGAGCGGAUGAAGGGAGCUUGCUCCUGGAUUCAGCGGCGGACGGGUGAGUAAUGCCUAGGAAUCUGCCUGGUAGUGGGGGAUAACGUCCGGAAACGGGCGCUAAUACCGCAUACGUCCUGAGGGAGAAAGUGGGGGAUCUUCGGACCUCACGCUAUCAGAUGAGCCUAGGUCGGAUUAGCUAGUUGGUGGGGUAAAGGCCUACCAAGGCGACGAUCCGUAACUGGUCUGAGAGGAUGAUCAGUCACACUGGAACUGAGACACGGUCCAGACUCCUACGGGAGGCAGCAGUGGGGAAUAUUGGACAAUGGGCGAAAGCCUGAUCCAGCCAUGCCGCGUGUGUGAAGAAGGUCUUCGGAUUGUAAAGCACUUUAAGUUGGGAGGAAGGGCAGUAAGUUAAUACCUUGCUGUUUUGACGUUACCAACAGAAUAAGCACCGGCUAACUUCGUG